GAUGAACGCUAGCUACAGGCUUAACACAUGCAAGUCGAGGGGCAGCAUGGAAGAAGCUUGCUUCUUCUGAUGGCGACCGGCGCACGGGUGCGUAACGCGUAUCAAACCUGCCUCAUACUCGGGGAUAGCCUUGCGAAAGUAAGAUUAAUACCCGAUGUUGUUAUGUUACCGCAUGGUGAUAUAACCAAAGAUUUAUCGGUAUGAGAUGGUGAUGCGUCCGAUUAGGUAGUAGGCGGGGUAACGGCCCACCUAGCCUUCGAUCGGUAGGGGUUCUGAGAGGAAGGUCCCCCACACUGGAACUGAGACACGGUCCAGACUCCUACGGGAGGCAGCAGUGAGGAAUAUUGGUCAAUGGACGAAAGUCUGAACCAGCCAAGUAGCGUGCAGGAUGACGGCCCUCUGGGUUGUAAACUGCUUUUAGUUGGGAAUAAAAAAGAGGACGUGUCCUCUAAUGUAUGUACCUCAGAAAAAGG
rnacentral:rRNA from 2 species